GUUGUAUAGUCAAGUAAUUAAGUGCAUGUGGUGGAUGCCUUGGCAGUCAGAGGCGAUGAAAGACGUGAUAGCCUGCGAAAAGCUCCGGGGAGGCGGCAAAUAUCCUUUGAUCCGGAGAUGUCUGAAUGGGGGAACCCACCUACUUUAAGGUAGGUAUUGCAACAUGAAUACAUAGUGUUGCAAGGCGAACGAGGGGAAGUGAAACAUCUCAGUACCCUUAGGAAAAGAAAUCAAUUGAGAUUCCCUCAGUAGCGGCGAGCGAACGGGGAUCAGCCCAUUAAGUUAUGUGUGUUUUAGUGGAACGCUCUGGGAAGUGCGAACGUAGAGGGUGAUAUUCCCGUACACGAAAGGGCACACAUAAUGAUGACGAGUAGGGCGAGGCACGUGAAACCUUGUCUGAAUAUGGGGGGACCAUCCUCCAAGGCUAAAUACUCCUGACUGACCGAUAGUGAACCAGUACCGUGAGGGAAAGGCGAAAAGAACCCCUGUGAGGGGAGUGAAAUAGAUCCUGAAACCGCAUGCAUACAAGCAGUGGGAGCACCUUCGUGGUGUGACUGCGUACCUUUUGUAUAAUGGGUCAGCGACUUAUAUUCAGUAGCAAGGUUAACCGUAUAGGGGAGCCGUAGAGAAAUCGAGUCUUAAUAGGGCGUUUAGUUGCUGGGUAUAGACCCGAAACCAGGCGAUCUAUCCAUGAGCAGGUUGAAGGUUGGGUAACACUAACUGGAGGACCGAACCCACUGUCGUUGAAAAGCCAGGGGAUGACUUGUGGAUAGGGGUGAAAGGCUAAUCAAGCCUGGUGAUAGCUGGUUCUCCCCGAAAGCUAUUUAGGUAGCGCCUCGGACGAAUACCAUAGGGGGUAGAGCACUGUUUCGGCUAGGGGGUCAUCCCGACUUACCAAACCGAUGCAAACUCCGAAUACCUAUGAGUACUAUCCGGGAGACAGACUGCGGGUGCUAACGUCCGUAGUCAAGAGGAAAACAAUCCAGACCGCCAGCUAAGGCCCCAAAAUCAUAGUUAAGUGGGAAACGAUGUGGGAAGGCAUAGACAGCUAGGAGGUUGGCUUANNNNNNNNNNNNNNNNNNGAAGCAGCCACCCUUUAAAGAAAGCGUAAUAGCUCACUAGUCGAGUCGGCCUGCGCGGAAGAUGUAACGGGGCUAAAACUAUGUGCCGAAGCUGCGGAUGUAUACUUUGUAUACGUGGUAGGGGAGCGUUCUGUAAGCCGAUGAAGGUGUGUUGAGAAGCNNNNNNNNNNNNNNNNNNNAUGCUGGAGGUAUCAGAAGUGCGAAUGCUGACGUGAGUAACGACAAAACGGGUGAAAAACCCGUUCGCCGAAAGACCAAGGGUUCCAGUCCAACGUUAAUCGGGGCUGGGUGAGUCGACCCCUAAGGCGAGGCCGAAAGGCGUAGUCGAUGGGAAAAUGGUUAAUAUUCCAUUACUUCUGUGUAAUGCGAUGAGAGGACGGAGAAGGCUAAAUCAGCCUGGCGUUGGUUGUCCAGGUGAAAGGAUGUAGGCAUGUAUCUUAGGCAAAUCCGGGGUACUCUAUGCUGAGAUCUGAUAGCAAGCUGUACUUGUACAGCGAAGUGGUUGAUGCCAUGCUUCCAGGAAAAGUCUCUAAGCUUCAGUUACACAGGAAUCGUACCCGAAACCGACACAGGUGGUCAGGUCGAGUAGACCAAGGCGCUUGAGAGAACUCUGCUGAAGGAACUAGGCAAAAUGGUACCGUAACUUCGGGAGAAGGUACGCUGUUGUUGGUGAUGGAACUCGCUUCCUGAGCUGACGACAGCCGCAGAAACCAGGCCGCUGCAACUGUUUAUUAAAAACAUAGCACUCUGCAAACACGAAAGUGGACGUAUAGGGUGUGAUGCCUGCCCGGUGCUGGAAGGUUAAUUGAUGGGGUUAGCGUAAGCGAAGCUCUUGAUCGAAGCCCCAGUAAACGGCGGCCGUAACUAUAACGGUCCUAAGGUAGCGAAAUUCCUUGUCGGGUAAGUUCCGACCUGCACGAAUGGCAUAAUGAUGGCGGCGCUGUCUCCAGCAGAGGCUCAGUGAAAUCGAAAUCGCUGUGAAGAUGCAGUGUACCCGCGGCUAGACGGAAAGACCCCGUGAACCUUUACUGCAGCUUGACACUGAACUUUGACCUUACUUGUGUAGGAUAGGUGGGAGGCUUUGAAGCUGGAACGCUAGUUCCAGUGGAGCCGUCCUUGAAAUACCACCCUGGUAAUGUUGAGGUUCUAACUCUGUCCCGUGAUCCGGGACGAGGACCGUGUCUGGUGGGUAGUUUGACUGGGGCGGUCUCCUCCUAAAGAGUAACGGAGGAGUACGAAGGUGCGCUCAGCGUGGUCGGAAAUCACGCGUAGAGUAUAAAGGCAAAAGCGCGCUUAACUGCGAGACCCACAAGUCGAGCAGGUACGAAAGUAGGUCUUAGUGAUCCGGUGGUUCUGUAUGGAAGGGCCAUCGCUCAACGGAUAAAAGGUACUCUGGGGAUAACAGGCUGAUACCGCCCAAGAGUUCAUAUCGACGGCGGUGUUUGGCACCUCGAUGUCGGCUCAUCUCAUCCUGGGGCUGAAGCAGGUCCCAAGGGUAUGGCUGUUCGCCAUUUAAAGAGGUACGCGAGCUGGGUUUAGAACGUCGUGAGACAGUUCGGUCCCUAUCUACCGUGGGCGCUGGAAAUUUGAGAGGAUCUGCUCCUAGUACGAGAGGACCAGAGUGGACGAACCUCUGGUGUACCGGUUGUGACGCCAGUCGCAUCGCCGGGUAGCUAUGUUCGGAAGGGAUAACCGCUGAAAGCAUCUAAGCGGGAAGCCUACCUCAAGAUAAGAUUUCCCUAGGACUUUAUGUCCUCUAAAGAGCCGUUCGAGACUAGGACGUUGAUAGGUUGGAUGUGGAAGCAUAGUGAUAUGUGAAGCUGACCAAUACUAAUUGCUCGUGAGGCUUGACUAUACAACACCCAAGCAGUUG
rnacentral:rRNA from 1 species